rnacentral:rRNA from 1 species
AUUGAACGCUGGCGGCAGGCUUAACACAUGCAAGUCGAGCGGGGUGAUGGUGCUUGCACUAUCACUUAGCGGCGGACGGGUGAGUAAUGCUUAGGAAUCUGCCUAUUAGUGGGGGACAACAUCUCGAAAGGGAUGCUAAUACCGCAUACGUCCUACGGGAGAAAGCAGGGGAUCACUUGUGACCUUGCGCUAAUAGAUGAGCCUAAGUCGGAUUAGCUAGUUGGUGGGGUAAAGGCCUACCAAGGCGACGAUCUGUAGCGGGUCUGAGAGGAUGAUCCGCCACACUGGGACUGAGAGACGGCCGAGACUCCUACGGGAGGCAGCAGUGGGGAAUAUUGGACAAUGGGGGGAACCCUGAUCCAGCCAUGCCGCGUGUGUGAAGAAGGCCUUAUGGUUGUAAAGCACUUGAAGCGAGGAGGAGGCUCUUUUGGUUAAUACCCAAGAUGAGUGGACGUUACUCGCAGAAUAAGCACCGGCUAACUCUGUGCCAGCCGCCGCAGUAA